rnacentral:rRNA from 1 species
GUCCACGCCGUAAACGAUGUCGAUUUGGAGGCUGUGUCCUUGAGACGUGGCUUCCGGAGCUAACGCGUUAAAUCGACCGCCUGGGGAGUACGGCCGCAAGGUUAAAACUCAAAUGAAUUGACGGGGGCCCGCACAAGCGGUGGAGCAUGUGGUUUAAUUCGAUGCAACGCGAAGAACCUUACCUGGCCUUGACAUGUCUGGAAUCCUGCAGAGAUGCGGGAGUGCCUUCGGGAAUCAGAACACAGGUGCUGCAUGGCUGUCGU